CUCCUCAUUCAUUAAUGUCUGCAGAAUUUGAGUCUCAAUUUCUUAGCAUAGAAAUUGAGUACUUCAGCUCUAUAAUUUCAAAAUGAAAUUCUGCCUAGUGAAAGGUUAAAACUGAUGCUGCUUG